UUUGGAAAAAGACCCCACCCCCUAGUGAUCGUCUUCUUCGACGAACCAAACGAACUCUGCUGUUUCUUCCAUUUUUUCUAUUAACGUCAGCACCGGUAAACACGCACACACGUAUAACUGACUGGGAAUACAGCAGAAACAGUGACAAUACAUGAGAAUCUUCCAGUCGUCGAUCCGUUGAGGUCGUCAUCGAUGUUCCGCUCAUCGUUCUCUGUUCGUUUCAAAAUCUGUUCGCUCCGCCAGAGCUAAUCUUUUGCUGGCUUAUGUUGCUUGUGUAAUUGCUGAACACUUACGCUAAAUUGGAAGCUUGAUUUUCAGGUUCAUAAUCUAUUUUUGCCAUAUUAUUUAAUUUUGUUAGAUUUGCAUUACCUGUACUCUUUUUUCCUUUCAUGCCUAAGGUCUGUGAUUUUGAAUUUGUUUUCCUUGGAGAUAUUGGGAUUAUAAUGCGAUGUGAUUUUUGUGAUGACUGAGUUAGUGUUAGAAUCCGUCGAGCCUCACAUGAAUAUACCGUAUGUUUGAUUGAUUUUCUUGGUUGAAUUUAAACUGAGUCGAGUUUGAAAUUGUCUUAACUAACUUGUCGAUGUGGAUGUUAGUGGUAAAACGACUUACUGCCUGUAUUGAGGAAACAUUACUUUUGGAAAACAACCUUGGUGCUUGAAUGAAUUAGAGUGUAUUUUCUUUCAUCCGUGUAUUUGUUGUACUCUUUGUUAAUUAAAGACCAUCAGAGGUUCAGUUCUUCUUUCCUCUUAAUGUAGUAUUUAAUUAUUUGUGAAUACAAGUAAAAUGGAAGUUGCUUGAAUUAGUUGGUCUGUUCGCUUUAUAUGUUAUUGCCACGGCUAUUUGGAUUAAAACUUGGUUUUUCAUCCCUGUAUCGUGGUUCAAGGAGGACUCUUGUGAUUUUGGAUUGAAUCUGGAUCCUAUUAGGUUUGUGUUUUACCGUUGUUGAGCUCCUAAGUUGUUGUUGCUUCGCUAAAUGUGUUUACAUGAUUCAAUGGGAAGUUACUGAAAUGUUCAUGCGAUAAUGUGCACAAAUGCUCACUGAUGAACACGCUGUAUUUCUGUUCUAUUUUGAGAUAAUUUGUCACCAUAUCUCAAACUUUUAUUGGCAUAUUCAAAUUGAGUAGGAAGGAAAAGAAUCAUGUUGAUUUAGUUGUUGUAAAGCUAUUAGAAAGCCAGCAUUCCCUGGAUCACGGGCAAGCUGAGAAAAGGUUUGUCUUAUUGUUUAUCCUACUCUCUCAAUAGAAUGAAUUAGGUUGUUUGAAUUCGUUUGAAUCAAUAUGAAAAAUGUGUUAGAUCAUAUCAAAAGGGAUAUUGGAUUGAUUAUAUUGGCCUGAACCUAUUUAAUUAUGUUAGCUUGGAAUUGAAUAAAUGGAGGCGUGCCGUGUCGAAAAAAAAUCUCAAAUGCAAGGCCCUUGUUUAAAUUAUUCUUGCUUAUCCUUAGAUUCUGAGGCGUUCCAUUUAGGGAAUUCCAUGGCCCUCGCAAAGUGCGAACGCAUAGUUGCAUUAGGCAUGUGUUUAAUAACAUUACUUUCCUAAAUUCGGGCGCACAUUUAUAUGACCCAAAUUCG
rnacentral:lncRNA from 1 species